UACGAAGGGUGCAAGCGUUACUCGGAAUUACUGGGCGUAAAGCGUGCGUAGGUGGUGCGUUAAGUCUGUCGUGAAAGCCCCCGGGCUCAACCUGGGAAUGGCGAUGGAUACUGGCGCGCUAGAGUGCGGUAGAGGAGAGUGGAAUUCCCGGUGUAGCAGUGAAAUGCGUAGAGAUCGGGAGGAACAUCAGUUGCGAAGGCGGCUCUCUGGACCAGCACUGACACUGAGGCACGAAAGCGUGGGGAGCAAACAGG
rnacentral:rRNA from 1 species